rnacentral:rRNA from 1 species
UACGUAGGGUGCAAGCGUUAAUCGGAAUUACUGGGCGUAAAGCGUGCGCAGGUCGGUUGUGCAAGACCGAUGUGAAAUCCCCGGGCUUAACCUGGGAAUGGCAUUGGUGACUGCACGGCUAGAGUGUGUCAGAGGGGGGUAGAAUUCCACGUGUAGCAGUGAAAUGCGUAGAGAUGUGGAGGAAUACCGAUGGCGAAGGCAGCCCCCUGGGAUAACACUGACGCUCAUGCACGAAAGCGUGGGGAGCAAACAGG